AACGCCUUGUAACUUCUAGCUGGUGCUUCCUCUUCAGGCUUCACCUGGUCAUUGAGCUCUCUAUCAUCUCACUCCACCUUCUUCUCCAGCCUUCACAUCUACCCUCUCAAAAGACCAGCUUUUGAGCUUAGCAGCCCUGAGAUCAGACUUCUGUGCUCUCAGGAGCUAGGGCUUACUUAUAAGAAGGUUGAUGUUUUCCCUUCAACACAGGGCCAUUGAUGUAAUAAAGCCUCACCAAUAAUCUUCAAGCACAAGGCAUCAUGGGAUACUAGGAAGGACUUAAAAGAAGUGAGAAGGAUUUUUAAGAAGGAAAAACUGGAAAAACAAUGACAUACCAUCAGAAGACAAGGAUAAAAGUGUUUUCUAUUUUAUAUGCAUAACAUUUCAUUUAAACUGGGUGAUGCAACUGUAGCAAACAAGAUGGGAACCAGAAGCUAUAAUACAGGAGUCCCCAACCUGUAGGCUGUGGUCUGGCACUGGGGUCCAUGGCAUGGACCAAGCCACCAAACAAGCAAAGUCCCAUCUACGGGAUGCAGGCAGCAUGUGAAACCACGCGCCCUCCAGUCCGUGGAAAAAUCUCUCUCAACAGAACCUAAUUUUAAGCAAUUAAAAAUUAUUUUAAUUUUUGCCAUU